CCUUCGGGCGCCGACGAGUGGCGGACGGGUGAGUAACGCGUAGGAAUCUGCCUCAUAGUGGGGGACAACGUGGGGAAACUCACGCUAAUACCGCAUACGCCCUACGGGGGAAAGCGGGGGACCUUCGGGCCUCGCGCUAUGAGAUGAGCCUGCGUUAGAUUAGCUAGUUGGUGGGGUAAAGGCCUACCAAGGCGACGAUCUAUAGCUGGUCUGAGAGGACGAUCAGCCACACUGGGACUGAGACACGGCCCAGACUCCUACGGGAGGCAGCAGUGGGGAAUAUUGGACAAUGGGCGCAAGCCUGAUCCAGCAAUACCGCGUGUGUGAAGAAGGCCUGAGGGUUGUAAAGCACUUUCAAUUGGGAGGAAAACCUGCCGGUCAAUACCCGGCAGCUUGACAUUACCUUUAGAAGAAGCACCGGCUAACUCCGUGCCAGCAGCCGCGGUAAUACGGAGGGUGCGAGCGUUAAUCGGAAUUACUGGGCGUAAAGCGUGCGUAGGCGGUUAUUUAAGUCAGAUGUGAAAGCCCCGGGCUUAACCUGGGAACUGCAUUUGAUACUGGGUAACUAGAGUUUAGUAGAGGAGAGUGGAAUUUCAGGUGUAGCGGUGAAAUGCGUAGAGAUCUGAAGGAACACCAGUGGCGAAGGCGACUCUCUGGACUAAAACUGACGCUGAGGUACGAAAGCGUGGGUAGCAAACAGGAUUAGACACCCUGGUAGUCCACGCCGUAAACGAUGUCAACUAGCCGUUGGGCCUUUUAACAGGC
rnacentral:rRNA from 1 species